GAUGAACGCUGGCGGCGUGCCUAAUACAUGCAAGUCGAGCGAACAGACGAGGAGCUUGCUCCUCUGACGUUAGCGGCGGACGGGUGAGUAACACGUGGAUAACCUACCUCUAAUACUGGGAUAACUUCGGGAAACCGGAGCUAAUACCGGAUAAUAUAUUGAACCGCAUGAUUCAAUAGUGAAAGACGGUUUUGCUGUCACUUAUAGAUGAAUCCGCGCCGCAUUAGCUAGUUGGUAAGGUAACGGCUUACCAAGGCGACGAUGCGUAGCCGACCUGAGAGGGUGAUCGGCCACACUGGAACUGAGACACGGUCCAGACUCCUACGGGAGGCAGCAGUAGGGAAUCUUCCGCAAUGGGCGAAAGCCUGACGGAGCAACGCCGCGUGAGUGAUGAAGGUCUUCGGAUCGUAAAACUCUGUUAUUAGGGAAGAACAAAUGUGUAAGUAACUAUGCACGUCUUGACGGUACCUAAUCAGAAAGCCACGGCUAACUACGUG
rnacentral:rRNA from 1 species